UGGUGACGACGGCAGAGGUUGAGCGGCGGCGGCGGCGGUAGACGGAACUGGGCGGCGGAACUGGGCAGCGACGGUGGUGCUAUUCUCCGACCACUUCAAUCGUGGUGUGGUUCAGGUUUGGGUCUCGUUCUUGGACUCGAGUUCGGUCAAAGCCAUCAACCGACUCAGUUUUGAUGCUCGGCUCCACAUCAGUCGUGGGUGUUGUUUCGGUUCAAGUUUUGUUUUUCCGGUGAAUGAUUUCGAUUCAGUUGGUUCGGGUUUUACGGCACGGGUAGCUUGGUCAAACAGUCAACUCGGUCAACUGUCGGGCCAACUCGGUCAAAGCUGGCCAGCCGGUUCAGUCACGAUUCAUUCUUGUUUCGGUUUCGGGUCAGCGGGUUAA